rnacentral:rRNA from 1 species
UACGUAGGGGGCUAGCGUUGUCCGGAUUUAUUGGGCGUAAAGAGCGUGUAGGCGGCCAUGUAGGUCCGGUGUGAAAACUCGAGGCUUAACCUCGAGAUGUCAUCGGAAACCAUUUGGCUAGAGUCCGGAAGAGGAGAGUGGAAUUCCUGGUGUAGCGGUGAAAUGCGCAGAUAUCUGGAGGAACACCGAUGGCGAAGGCAGCCCCUGGGCUAACACUGACGCUCAUGCACGAAAGCGUGGGAGCAACAGG